GUUUACUUCACUUAUCCAUCCACAUAUCCUGCCACCCUCUUUACCUGGACUUUCUGCCACUAACGAAGAAAAAAAAAUCUGUACAGCACAACAGCACUCAGACACAGAUGGUGUGUCGCUCUGCCUGGCCUGUUGGUGGCUGCACCGAUGCAGGAGCUGUAGUAGUGAGUGUUGGAGGCUGGCUAGCCCCGCCCGGCCUUGUUGUCCUGCCAGCAUGCGUGCCAACCUGCUCGCAGAGACACAGGGUGGAAGUUUGAAGAAGACAACAACAAUCCGCAGAGAGAGUGUGAAGGGUACAUGUGUGAGCAAUUGUAUGUUCUUUUAAUGCAGCUUUUAAUCUCUGUAAGUGUUGUUUAGAAC